AUUGAACGCUGGCGGCAGGCCUAACACAUGCAAGUCGAGCGAUCGGCGUACGGUUGAGUAAUGUCUGGGAAACUGCCUGAUGGAGGGGGAUAACUCCUGGAAACGGUAGCUAAUACCGCAUACCAUCGGAUGUGCCCAGAGGGGAUUAGCUAGUAGGUGGGGUAACGGCUCACCUAGGCGACGAUCCCUAGCUGGUCUGAGAGGAUGACCAGCCAAACUGGAACUGAGACACGGUCCAGACUCGUACGGGAGGCAGCAGUGGGGAAUAUUGCACAAUGGGCGCAAGCCAGAGGCAUCAAUGCCGCGUGUAUGAAGAAGGCCUUCGGGUUGUAAAGUACUUUCAGCGGGGAGGCGGUACCCGCAGAAGAAGCACCGGCUAACUCCGUGCCAGCCGCCGCGGUAAUAC
rnacentral:rRNA from 1 species